CGCGAUAAAAUGAUGGUGGGGCUUGGCGAACGUGCCAGAAUCCUCGUCCGCACCGGGCCCGAUCAAUACUAACAAUAAUAUUAUAAAAACAUUUAAAAAAAAACAAUACAAAAUUGUUUAUUGUUAAAUUAAAAUUAACUAUGAUAUUUAAAAUAAUUUUAAUGAUAAUUUGACAAUUUUUUUUUGAAAAAUCAUUGGUUUCUUUUAUGGGUAAUUGAUGUUGUGCGCAGUUAUUUACUCAAGGGCUAUUGGCAGGGCGUCGUGUAUAUUUUUGUUCUAGAAGCAACUAUUACGCCGCAACAGAGCUAUAUAAAGCCGGCCGGUUUGCCGAGAGCAGCAUUCAAUAACAAACCAUCGUUGUGAUUUCAUCUCUUGAUAAAUUUAAAAAACUUAUAAAUAAAUAUUUUAAUAUUUUUUAAAUAUUGUUGUGACUAAAAUAAUACGGUUUACGAUGUAGAAUUGGAGAAAACGGUGCGGACCGUGACAUUUACCCAAUAGCCCUUGGGCUUGGUGCUUGGUCAAUCCGUACUCAUCAAUUUGUGCCAUCCAGUUGUGUUGGUCAGACAUCAACCUGGUCUGACUAUACUAUUGACCAUACUGAUCUUACAACUUGAUUAUGUUUAAAGAGAGCUUUUAAUAGUUUAAGCUUGGUGUCCAGCUCCAGAAUCAUCUAGUAACCGGUUAGUUAUAAAAAAAAAAUAAACAUUUGUGAUCAAAAAAAGAACAAUUUUUUUUUCAACUCAACUGGAUCAAGUGAUUCCAGCGGAGAGUGGAUCUCUCCGUUGAGAUCGGGAGUCUGCGGUGGGAGUUUGAGUAGAGGCAGUGGUUCGAUAUAACUUAACACAUGUCAACAAUAAGUCAAGUUAGAUAAAAAAAAAGCAAGCUUUAUCUAGCUUUAAAGUAUAUAGUUAUUGUGAAAGUCUCACCUUCUUUGGAGCAGUUAUUGUAAGAACACCAUCUGAGGAAAGACUUGAAGUGAUUUCAAGUGCAUCGUGUGAAGCAGGUAACACAUAUCGUCUUACAAAGUGACGGCUGAUGAAGCCGUGCUCGUCUUUUUUCUCAUCGUGUUUAGCCUCGACAAUAACACUGUCAUCAAUUGUCUUGACUGUUAUUUCAUCUGGUGAAAAUUGCUGUACAUCCAGAAUCACCUACAACAAUUAAGCAUAAUUGCGUUCCAAUGAUAAUUCAUCAGCUUUCAUCAUCGACAACCAACAACAACAGCAUCAUCAACAAUAUCAAGUCAUAAAAACGAUUAAAAAAAAACACAAAUUAAAAACAAAGGAAACAAUAAGGUUAGCGUCUUUAUUAUCAAGACGUUAUUAUUAUUCUAGUUUUUUUUUUUUCAUUAGAAAUAUAUUUGUUUCUAUUUAAAUUAUUAUAAAAUAUACUAGUCUUUAUAAAACAUCGUACAACCCGAAAAAAAAGAAGUUAAAAUUUAUGGCUCGCGGGCUCACCUGCGAGCCAAUAUAUUAAUUCUUAUUUUUCAUUUCUACCUCGGUAAUUAAUCAUUUAAAUUUUUAUCAUUUCAUUCAUUUUAUCUUGUAUGAAAAAAAAUUAAUUUAGCCAUAAAUAAUUGAACAGUAAAUAUUGUCAACUGGAAAAUGUCGUACUUUAUUGCAUGAUAAAAUGAAUUGAAAUUUAAUAUAAUUUUUUUUUCGUCAAACAUAACAGCGUUAUAAAAUUUUUAAUAACAAAUAUAUAUAAUGGUUUUUUACGAAAGUAAAUUUAUACAGAUGGAUGGCGAUUUACCGUGUUAUUGCGUUGAAAAUUAUCGAUUUAUCGAGGAUCGUGAUAUAAGAGCUAAACGUACAUUGAGUGAUUAUUAUCGAUUGAGAUCUGAAAACUAAAGAUUUUUGUAUUUUUUAAGAAAUUUAAUUUUUUUUCUAUAUACUUUUUGAAUUGAAAAAAAAAAAUUUAUAUGCGUGUGUCUGAACGCGUUUGACUGAGGUAAGGCCAUCGGCUGUGUCGUUUACUGGCCCUUGAGGUUUUUAUGAAAGCAUUUAUUUUUUUAUAAAUAAGAUAUAUUUAUAAGUUGAAAAAAUUCAAAGAAAAAAAACUAAAAAAAAAAAAAACAAAGAUUAAAAAUUUUUUACCGGGCCCGGCGCCCCAGGUGGGGGUGGGCUUUUUUUUAAAGGCCCUUUAAAGAAGGUCAAACCACGUGGAUUGACAAUAUUUAUUUGUUAGAUUAAAGAGUGAAAUAUUUAAAAAUUUAUUUGAUAAAAAAAAAGAAUAUUUAAAAGUACAUUUCAAAAAGACUUAGUUGUUAGGUACUCGAGCCUUCAACAAAAACAUUUUUUUUCUAAAAAAAAAAAUAAGAUAAUUUAACAAGAGCUGAAA
rnacentral:lncRNA from 1 species